GAAGUAAAAAGUCGUAACAAGGUCUCCGUUGGUGAACCAGCGGAGGGAUCAUUACAGAGUUUUCUAAACUCCCAACCCUAUGUGAACUUACCUUUGUUGCUUCGGCGGCGGAGGCUACCCUGCGGGAGAAUACCACUUAGUGGUUACCCUGUAGUUUCAGGUACAUCAGCUACCCGGUAGUCAUCCCCGCCGGCGGCCAACUAAACUCUGUUUUCUUUGGAAUUCUGAAUAACAAACUUAAUAAGUUAAAACUUUCAACAACGGAUCUCUUGGUUCUGGCAUCGAUGAAGAACGCAGCGAAAUGCGAUAAGUAAUGUGAAUUGCAGAAUUCAGUGAAUCAUCGAAUCUUUGAACGCACAUUGCGCCCAUUAGCAUUCUAGUGGGCAUGCCUGUUCGAGCGUCAUUUCACCACUUAAGCCUUGUUGCUUAGCGUUGGGAGCCUACGGCACGGCCCGUAGCUCCUUAAAGUGAUUGGCGGAGUUGGUUCUCACUCUAAGCGUAGUAAUUAUAUCUCGCUUCUGUAGUGGUCCCGGCCCCUGCCGUAAAACCCCUUAUACAAAGGUUGACCUCGGAUCAGGUAGGAAUACCCGCUGAACUUAAGCAUAUCAAUAAG
rnacentral:rRNA from 1 species